rnacentral:rRNA from 1 species
CUACGGGUGGCAGCAGUGAGGAAUAUUGCACAAUGUGGGAAACCCUGAUGCAGCAACGCCGCGUGGAGGAUGACGCAUUUCGGUGUGUAAACUCCUUUUAUAUGUCAAGAAAAUGACGGUAGCAUAUGAAUAAGCACCGGCUAACUCCGUGCCAGCAGCCGCGGUAAUACGGAGGGUGCAAGCGUUAUUCGGAAUCACUGGGCGUAAAGGACGCGUAGGCGGGUUCGCAAGUCAGGUGUGAAAUCCUAUGGCUCAACCAUAGAACUGCACUUGAAACUGCGAACCUAGAGUAUGGAAGGGGCAGAUGGAAUUAGUGGUGUAGGGGUAAAAUCCGUAGAUAUCACUAGGAAUACCAAAAGCGAAGGCGAUCUGCUGGGACAUUACUGACGCUAAGGCGUGAAAGCGUGGGGAGCAAACAGGAUUAGAUACCCCAGUAGUC